CCAGGGAUCCUUGGGAGCAGCGCCGUCCGGCCGUCCGAGGACCUGUGAGCAGGCCCAGGAGUGAAGGAUGCAGGCUGCCCCUAUGGGAGAGUUUGGCCAACAUUUUCCCCCUGAGAACCAACAACACAAACCAAUUUACCCACGUUACCUGCGUCCCAGGCCUGUGCUGAGGGCUUCACCUGAGUUAUCUCAGUCAGUCCUCCCCUUGCAGGACAGGAAACUGAAGGUGAAAACAGAUCCUUCCGGACACCUAUUCUGUGUCAGGCUACCUUCUAGGUGCUGGAGUGAUAAAAGAGGCCCCAGCAUGCACAGGAAGGAACAGGCCUUGAAAGGGGCUGGUGGAUCAGAGACAGGACACCACUACGGGAGACCCAGAGAGGACUGGCCUGGCUGGCCAGAGAGAGAAGUUGCUGGAUGAUCCUGGGUCCCUUAGGCUCCUUUAUCUGAAGAGGGGAUUAUACCAUGACUUCUUUGGAUUUGUGGCAAGAAUCAAAUGAAGCAAUAAAGAUAAAGCAUUUAAUAAAGGAAUUGGUACAUAUUGAACAAUUAAUAAACAACUUUUCUCAUACUAAAACCUAAAUGUAAGGAAAAAUCACUAAGAUUUGUUUCAUAAAAAUGUAUUUCACAUAAAAUGAUUCCAUAUAUUAUAAAAAUAAAUGUAUAAAUUUGGAGGAGUGUUUUCAUAGUUUAUGGCAAGGAGAAUUGGAGAGUAAUGUUACUAUUUUGUAACAUUUGCCCCCAAAUAAUUCCCAUAUUGGUAUUCUAAUGAAAAUGGGUUCCCAAAAUUCUACAUUUUUAUCAUGUGUCUUUGCUAGCAUUUAUGCUACACUCUGAACUAACAAAUAUCAAACGCUAAAAAAUUACAUAUGCAUAAAAGUGGGGAAAGGCAUAUGCAUCUUAUGUAAAUCUCAGUGGAACAUACUCAAACCUCUAGCCCUACUAGAUACUCCCAGCUCAAACCACACAAUGAUUUUGGAAUAGGGGAGAAUUCAUGACUAUGAGACAAUAAGGAGGCUGUUUGGGCAUGUGAUUUAAAAAAAUCUUUAAAUCAGGCUGUCCUUAUCAUUGGAUGCCUACUAAUGAAUAUCAUUCUCAAUAAAGAACCUUCUGGCUCA